AUGGCCUCCAGCCUGGUAAAGAACGUGCUGGCCAAGAAGAUGCAGUACGAGCAGCUCAUCAAGAUGGAGCAGCAGAAGGCGCUGCGGGGCAGCUCCACCUCCUCGGGGCCAUCCUCGGCCGGCACUGACCUACUUGGGGAUGGCAUGGAAGGCAAGUCCAGCUCGCUGUCCAAGUCCGACCUCAGCGCCUCGGCCGAAGAUGUGAGGCUGGUGGACAUGGGGCUGGGGCCUAUGGGUGCCCACCGGCCGGCCAAGGGUGUGGUGCUGAGCGAGGCGACGCGGGAGAACGUCUGCAGGCUGAAGAAGACCUUCAAUGAGCUCAACGAGAGGAUGCGGUACCAGGAGGUGGUGCAGUGCCAGCGCCUGCCUGCUGCCGAGCCUUCUGCCGAGAGGACUCCCUACUGGCGAGCGCGCGCCCUGUUCGAAGGCCGCAGCGGGGAUGGGAAGGUGCCAACCACCACCCCCAAGUUUGAGAAGCCGCAGAAGCCGUGGCCCAGCUUGAGGCAGCGAGCCAUCCGCCCCAGCAGGCCCCAGCUCAUUCCCUUUGAGCCCAAAAGCUUGGUGCCUCCCGACGUGCCACCUCGGAGCAUCUUCACCUCCCAGGCACGGGAUGUGAGGUUGGGGCCGCAGAGCCGUGGGGAGGAGAAGCCACCGCCAGCGCCCCGAGAGCCCCCGGGAUCUGGGAUCUCUGUGGGUACCCCCACUGAGCCGGGCAGCAAAGGCAAGGGGCUGGUGCCGCAGCCACGGGACGUGCGAAAGCUGCUCAAGAGCAGCUACAGCCUCAGCUUUGGUGCUGCUCGCGGAACCCCCGCUCCCCGCCCCAGCGGGGGACGCAGCGGGGGACACAAACACUGCACCUCGGUCCGACGCAGCGAGCCGGCACCGAGCAUCGUGCCACCGGCAGGAGGGGACGUGGGGACGGAUGGUGUCCGAGAGCCUGCUCCAGCACGCACCGAGGGCACGGCAGCGUCCACCAGCAGCCACCCAGCGCAGGGCUCACCCAUGCAGAUCAGCAAGGUGCAGUCUGUGCGGAGAGAGGCAGCCACCACCAAGAGCCCCCAGCCCAGCCCGGCCACGUGCCGCCAGCGCAGUGAGAUCCAUGUGCCGUCACUGGUGGGGACUGUGGAGGAAACGCACGUGGAGAGCCACCUUCAUGUCCUGGUCGGGCCUCGGUCCCCUGUGGCUGUGGAGGCCUCCCCGGCUCGGAGCAGUGCUGUGCUGAGGACGGAGAAGACCCUUCUCCUCCCACCGCCACCAAUGAGCCCCACAGAGGAGGAUGAGGAGCGUGGUCACGGUGUCACCAUAGGGGAUGGCACUGGAGCAGACCAACAUCGCAGCAGUGGGGACAACCCAGGGAAUGUCCAGGAUGUGAAAUCAGCGGUGAGGAGCGCACUGAAGCCGCCCACCUGUGAGCAGCCAGGCAGCCAGCUGGCCUCGGUGGGGAGCCAUGGCCCCACAGACAGCACUCGCCCCACUGCGCCAUUUCAAGCAAGGGAGGCUGGUGAAGGUCCCUCUGUUCCCCCUGUGCCACUUGCCAGCAGGCCACUGGAACAGAGGGAGACCAUGGAGCACGUAACGAAGUGGCCGGGAGCCAGUGAUCCACACCUUACUGGUGUCCAGGCAGACAACUCCAACUACUUGACAAUUCCUGUGAAAGCCCCCAAACCUUCCCCAGUGCCAAAGGUGCCCCCGGUCCCCAGCCCGGGCACCACCUCCUCUGGGACCCCUUUGGUCCCCCACCCAAACAGCGUGUCCUUUGGGACCCCCUCGGUCCCAAACUCAGCCACCACGCACUUCGGGACCCCUUCAGGCCCCAAUCCAGCCACUGCACCCAUGGGGACGCCAUUGGUCCCCCGUCCAACUAGUAUGCCUUUUGGGACCCCUUCUGUCCCCACUCCAGCCAGUGCAGCCCUUGGGGCCUCCAUGGUCCCCAACCCAGCAUCUUUUGAGACCCCUGUGGUCCCCAGCCUGACCAGCACAUCCCUUGGGACCCCUUUGGUUCCUAGUGCAACCACCUCCUCUUUUGGGACACCGUUGUUCCCAUACCCACUGAGUGCACCCCUUGGGACCCCUUUGGUCCCCAGUCCAGCCACUCCAUCCUUUGGGACUGCUUCAGUCCCCAGGCUGCCCAACUCAACCUUUGGGACCUCUUUGGUUCCCAAUCUAUCCAGCACACCUUUUGCAACCCCUUAUGUCCCCAAUCCAGCCGGCUCAUCCUUCGGGGCCCCCUUGGUCCCCAACCCAUCCAGCACACCUUUUGCAUCUCCCUCUGUCCCCAAGCGGGCCAGCUCAUCCUCUGGGACCCCCUUGGUCCCCAGUCCAGCCACGACGUCCUUUGGGACUGUUCCAUUCUCCAGGCCACUCAACUCAACCUUUGGUGCUCCCUUGGUCCCCAACCCAUCCAGCACACCCUUUAUGACCCCCUCUGUCCCCAUGCCAGCCAGCUCAUCUUUUGGAACCCCCAUGGUCAGCAACCCAGACCCUACUUCCCUUGGGUACCCAUCAAUAUCUAAUGUGGCCAGAUCUUCCUUUGGGUCUCCCUUAUUCCCCAGCCCAGCCAGUGCUCCUCUGGGGACUGGUGUGUCCCCCCAUCCCGGUGGGGAAGCCCCUUGGAGCAAACCCCUCCCUGAGCUCCCCCAGCCCUCUGAUGCUCUGGCCACUGCUGUGCCCCCAGCCCAGCCCCAACCUCACCUGGAAGAUGCUCCCCGGAGGACCGAGGGAUCCUCGCCGGGCAGCAAGAGCACACCGAGCCCCACACGGCCCUUUGCUCCCCACCCCUCCGCACACCGCAAGAUGCUCGUUGAUCCCGACAGUGGAAAAUGCUACUACAUGGAAGCGCCACGGCAGCCCCAACUGAAAACACUUUACGACCCAGAGACAGGGCAGUACAUGGAGGUGCUCAUCCCAUCGGUGCCCGUGGCCUCACACGCUGGAUUCUACCAUGCUCCCUUCAACCCCAUGCUCUACGGCACACCCUACAUGCCCUAUGGCAGCUUCCCUGGGCUGUCAGCACCCUCGCUGCCCACUGCCUCCUCCCCGGCACACCCUGACCUGCAGGGCCAGCCACCGACCUCCGAAAACCCUGGGGGCUUCCCCGGAACCUUCAGCCCCGAUCCUAAGGGUGAGGGGCCACCUGCAACUGGGGGACCUGAUUGUGGGUACCUGGAGAGCCCCUAUUACAUCCCCACAGGGAUGCGGGCCAGCCCCAGCCCCAGCCAGCCCCCAGCCCGUGCCAGCCCUGCCAGCACUGAGAAGGGACCACUGCCCUCCAUGUGA
rnacentral:lncRNA from 1 species